rnacentral:rRNA from 1 species
ACGCUCGACACCUACGGAGGCAGCAGUGGGGAAUAUUGCACAAUGGGGGAAACCCUGAUGCAGCGACGCCGCGUGAGCGAAGAAGUAUUUCGGUAUGUAAAGCUCUAUCAGCAGGGAAGAUAAUGACGGUACCUGACUAAGAAGCUCCGGCUAAAUACGUGCUAGCAGCCGCGGUAAUCUGAGCGGGCUGGCAAGGC